GCACCUUUGUUCUAUUUUCAAGCUCAAGAUAUUUUGUCCGCUGUUCUAUUAGAAAACUAACGUGUUAUUGAAGAGACUCUACCAUUAAAAAGUAAUUAGUCACUGCUAGUAUCUAAAGAAGGCGUUGAUUGAUUUAAAUUAUAGUUAUUGAAGCCAAUUUAUUUUAGUGCUUCGGGGUCGUUUGUUCAACAACGACUUAUUUUUUCUAAGCUUCUCUUACAAAAUUUCCAACAUGAAGUUAUUGAUCAUCCUGCUGAUGAAUAUCUACCUUGCAAAGUCUUCGGAGGACCAAGUUCUUAUCCAUGGUCCCAACACUCCGGUCUACAAGUGCAAACUUGUAAACGGACAUGUUAAAGUUGAAACAGUGAGACAAAAAUUCGACAAUAAGGCAGCCAAGUACUCCUACGAUGGUAA